rnacentral:rRNA from 1 species
GUGAGGAAUAUUGGUCAAUGGGCGGGAGCCUGAACCAGCCAAGUCGCGUGAAGGAAGAAGGAUCUAUGGUUCGUAAACUUCUUUUGCAGGGGAAUAAAGUGCAGGACGUGUCCUGUUUUGUAUGUACCCUGAGAAUAAGGAUCGGCUAACUCCGUGCCAGCAGCCGCGGUAAUACGGAGGAUCCGAGCGUUAUCCGGAUUUAUUGGGUUUAAAGGGUGAGUAGGUGGUUUGAUAAGUCAGCGGUGAAAGUUUGCAGCUUAACUGGAAAAAUGCCGUUGAAACUGUCGGACUUGAGUGUAAAUGAGGUAGGCGGAAUGCGUGGUGUAGCGGUGAAAUGCAUAGAUAUCACGCAGAACUCCGAUUGCGAAGGCAGCUUACUAAGCUACAACUGACACUGAAGCACGAAAGCGUGGGGAUCAAACAGGAUUAGAAACCCCUGUAGUCC